CAUCCCGGGGUCUAUGGAGGAGAAGUACUGGCUGGCCGGAGGCUGAACGGGGAUGUGGAUGCCUGACUGACGGUUCGAGCUAACGAUGGACGUGAGAUCUGUCACAGAGCGAGAGAUGAGGGGCUUCAGUCAGCAAAGCACAUGACCAGGGACACUUCGGAGCAAUUUUAAUCCAGAGAUGAUGGAUUGAUCACUUAAAGAGAGCCUCCUUCUCACCCAUAUCACCGCACACGAAAAUAGUCAUUACGCAGGAACUCUCGUACUAAUUUGAGUUUCUGGAAAUGUACUUAACUAUUCACACACACAUUACAAAUAUUUGCAAGAUGUCUGAUUUGUUAGCUUUAAAUAUGUAAUUCGUAUUUUUU